rnacentral:rRNA from 1 species
CCUACGGGUGGCAGCAGUGAGGAAUAUUGGUCAAUGGACGAGAGUCUGAACCAGCCAAGUAGCGUGAAGGAUGACUGCCCUAUGGGUUGUAAACUUCUUUUAUAUGGGAAUAAAACGUUCCACGUGUGGGAUUUUGUAUGUACCAUAUGAAUAAGGAUCGGCUAACUCCGUGCCAGCAGCCGCGGUAAUACGGAGGAUCCGAGCGUUAUCCGGAUUUAUUGGGUUUAAAGGGAGCGUAGGUGGAUUGUUAAGUCAGUUGUGAAAGUUUGCGGCUCAACCGUAAAAUUGCAGUUGAAACUGGCAGUCUUGAGUACAGUAGAGGUGGGCGGAAUUCGUGGUGUAGCGGUGAAAUGCUUAGAUAUCACGAAGAACUCCGAUUGCGAAGGCAGUUCACUGGACUGCCACUGACACUGAGGCUCGAAAGUGUGGGUAUCAAACAGGAUUAGAUACCCCAGUAGUC